rnacentral:rRNA from 1 species
AGGGUUUGAUCAUGGCUCAGAACGUACGCUGGCGGCACGCCUUAUACAUGCAAGUCGAACGAAGUAGCAAUACUUAGUGGCAGACGGGUGAGUAACAUGUAGGUAUCUUCCCUUUGGUGAGGAAUAACACGAGGAAACUUGUGCUAAUACCUCGUAAGUCUUUACGGAGAAAGCUUUAUGCGCCAUUGGAUGAGCCUGCACUUGAUUAGUUUGUUGGUGGGGUAAUGGCCUACCAAGACUAUGAUCAAUAGCUGAUUUGAGAGGAUGAUCAGCCACAUUGGGACUGAGACACGGCCCAAACUCCUACGGGAGGCAGCAGUAGGGAAUCUUGCACAAUGGGGGAAACCCUGAUGCAGCGAUGCCGCGUGAGUGAAGAAGGCCUUUGGGUUGUAAAGCUCUUUCGUCGGGGAAGAAAAUGACUGUACCCGAAUAAGAAGGUCCGGCUAACUUCGUGCCAGCAGCCGCGGUAAUACGAAGGGACCUAGCGUAGUUCGGAAUUACUGGGCUUAAAGAGUUCGUAGGUGGUUAAAAAAGUUGGUGGUGAAAUCCCAGAGCUUAACUCUGGAACUGCCAUCAAAACUUUUUAGCUAGAGUAUGAUAGAGGAAAGCAGAAUUUCUAGUGUAGAGGUGAAAUUCGUAGAUAUUAGAAAGAAUACCAAUUGCGAAGGCAGCUUUCUGGAUCAUUACUGACGCUGAGGAACGAAAGCAUGGGUAGCGAAGAGGAUUAGAUACCCUCGUAGUCCAUGCCGUAAACGAUGUGUGUUAGACGUUGGAAAUUUAUUUUCAGUGUCGCAGCGAAAGCAAUAAACACACCGCCUGGGGAGUACGACCGCAAGGUUAAAACUCAAAUGAAUUGACGGGGACCCGCACAAGUAGUGGAGCAUGUGGUUUAAUUCGAAGAUACGCGCAGAACCUUACCAACACUUGACAUGUGGAGCUUGGUUAUCAGAGAUGAUUUCCUUCAGUUCGGCUGGCUCCAACACAGGUGCUGCAUGGCUGUCGUCAGCUCGUGUCGUGAGAUGUUGGGUUAAGUCCCGCAACGAGCGCAACCCUCAUCUUUAGUUGCCAGCAGUUCGGCUGGGCACUCUAGAGAAACUGCCUGGGAUGACCAGGAGGAAGGCGAGGAUGACGUCAAGUCCUCAUGGCCCUUAUGGGCUGGGCUACACACGUGCUACAAUGGCGGUUACAAUGGGAUGCAAAAGGGUGACCUAGAGCUAAUCCCCAAAGGCCGUCUCAGUUCGGAUUGUUCUCUGCAACUCGAGAACAUGAAGUCGGAAUCGCUAGUAAUCGUGGAUCAGCACGCCACGGUGAAUACGUUCCCGGGCCUUGUACACACCGCCCGUCACACCAUGGGAGUUGGUUUUACCCGAAGACGAUAUCCUAACCUUUUGGAGGGAGUCGGCCACGGUAGGGUCAGCGACUGGGGUGAAGUCGUAACAAGGUAGCCGUA